CCAGACUCCUACGGGAGGCAGCAGUGGGGGAUAUUGCACAAUGGGGGAAACCCUGAUGCAGCGACGCCGCGUGGGUGAAGAAGCGCCUCGGCGCGUAAAGCCCUGUCAGCAGGGAAGAAAAUGACGGUACCUGAAGAAGAAGCCCCGGCUAACUACGUGCCAGCAGCCGCGGUAAUACGUAGGGGGCAAGCGUUAUCCGGAUUUACUGGGUGUAAAGGGAGCGUAGGUGGCAUGGUAAGCCAGAAGUGAAAACCCAGGGCUCAACUCUGUGGAUUGCUUUUGGAACUAUCAAGCUGGAGUGCUGGAGGGGUAAGCGGAAUUCCUAGUGUAGCGGUGAAAUGCGUAGAUAUUAGGAGGAACACCGGUGGCGAAGGCGGCUUACUGGACAGAAACUGACACUGAGGCUCGAAAGCGUGGGGAGCAAACAGGAUUAGAUACCCGAGUACG
rnacentral:rRNA from 1 species